rnacentral:rRNA from 1 species
UACGUAGGGGGCAAGCGUUGUCCGGAUUUAUUGGGCGUAAAGGGUGCGUAGGCGGUUUUGUAAGUCUUGUGUGAAAUCUUCAGGCUCAACUUGAAGACUGCACGAGAAACUGCAGGGCUUGAGUGUGGGAGAGGUGAGUGGAAUUCCUGGUGUAGCGGUGAAAUGCGUAGAUAUCAGGAGGAACACCUGUGGCGAAAGCGGCUCACUGGACCACAACUGACGCUGAUGCACGAAAGCUAGGGGAGCAAACAGG